AUUGAACGCUGGCGGCAGGCCUAACACAUGCAAGUCGAGCGGAUGAAGGGAGCUUGCUCCUGGAUUCAGCGGCGGACGGGUGAGUAAUGCCUAGGAAUCUGCCUGGUAGUGGGGAAUAACGUCCGGAAACGGGCGCUAAUACCGCAUACGUCCUGAGGGAGAAAGUGGGGGAUCUUCGGACCUCACGCUACCAGAUGAGCCUAGGUCGGAUUAGCUAGUUGGUGGGGUAAAGGCCUACCAAGGCGACGAUCCGUAACUGGUCUGAGAGGAUGAUCAGUCACACUGGAACUGAGACACGGUCCAGACUCCUACGGGAGGCAGCAGUGGGGAAUAUUGGACAAUGGGCGAAAGCCUGAUCCAGCCAUGCCGCGUGUGUGAAGAAGGUCUUCGGAUUGUAAAGCACUUUAAGUUGGGAGGAAGGGCAGUAAGUUAAUACCUUGCUGUUUUGACGUUACCAACAGAAUAAGCACCGGCUAACUUCGUG
rnacentral:rRNA from 1 species